GUGGAGCUUCAAGAUCCAGAGAUGAAGAACGGAGACGUUUCUGUGAUUCUGAAGAACGUCAACAUCAAGGACACUGGAACAUAUGAGUGUUUGAUUGUAGGGAAAAACUCGAGAGGCAGAAAGAGAGACGUAUUUGAGUCCAUCAGCAUCAUCAGGCUGACAGUGACAGGUCACACAGCUGGAAACAUCUGGGAGGGAUACGUUGGAGUUGUUUGUUUGCUUUCUCUUCUUCUUGUUGCUGUUGGUGGUUUUAUGGUCAAUCAAAUGAUUCAAAGGAGACACAGACCAGAAACAACUCCUGACUCAGAGAGUGCAGAAGACGCCCUAAACCCAUCAUCAUCAUCAUCAGUCUGACAGAUCCAGGUCACACAGCUGGAGACAAGGAGGAAGAUGUUUCACAGACAGGUGGUGUGCGAAAUACCCCCUAAACUAAAAUUUUUCAUCAAACAAUGUGAACAACUGCAGAAUAAUUAUACUUUGUGCACGGACCAUGGAGUCUUAAAAUUUAAUCUGGCUUUUAAAACACAAUAUUAGCAAAUUAAAACUGCUUUCAAAAUGUUACUAAAGUCAAAGUACACAAGUCUUAGGUAAGUGUAUCUUAUUUACAUAAUGUUGACAGUUUAUUUUAUAUCAAUGCUUCAUGUUGUAGCUGUAAAAUAUUAAUCUGCAGAGUAGCCUGUU